GGAGGAUGCGAGCGUUAUCCGGAUUUAUUGGGUUUAAAGGGAGCGCAGGCUGCGAGGCAAGUCAGCGGUCAAAUGUCGGGGCUCAACCCCGGCCUGCCGUUGAAACUGUUUUGCUAGAGUUCGAGUGAGGUAUGCGGAAUGCGUUGUGUAGCGGUGAAAUGCAUAGAUAUGACGCAGAACUCCGAUUGCGAAGGCAGCAUACCAACUCGCGACUGACGCUGAGGCUCGAAAGCGUGGGUAUCGAACAGGAUUAGAUAC
rnacentral:rRNA from 1 species